CAGCAGUGGGGAAUAUUGCACAAUGGGCGCAAGCCUGAUGCAGCGACGCCGCGUGGGGGAUGACGGCCUUCGGGUUGUAAACUCCUUUCGUUAGGGACGAAGCCGCGCCUUUUUUUGGGUGUGGUGACGGUACCUUUGUUAAGAAGCACCGGCUAACUACGUGCCAGCAGCCGCGGUAAUACGUAGGGUGCGAGCGUUGUCCGGAAUUACUGGGCGUAAAGAGCUCGUAGGUGGUUUGUUGCGUCGUCUGUGAAAUUCCGGGGCUUAACUUCGGGGUGGCAGGCGAUACGGGCAUAACUAGAGUGCUGUAGGGGAGACUGGAAUUCCUGGUGUAGCGGUGGAAUGCGCAGAUAUCAGGAGGAACACCGAUGGCGAAGGCAGGUCUCUGGGCAGUAACUGACGCUGAGGAGCGAAAGCAUGGGGAGCGAACAGGAUUAGAUACCCUGGUAGUCCAUGCUGUAAACGGUGGGCGUUAGGUGUGGGGACCGGUUUUGGUUUCUGUGCCGUAGCUAACGCAUUAAGCGCCCCGCCUGGGGAGUACGGCCGCAAGGCUAAAACUCAAAGGAAUUGACGGGGGCCCGCACAAGCGGCGGAGCAUGCGGAUUAAUUCGAUGCAACGCGAAGAACCUUACCAAGGCUUGACAUACGCUGGGACGGUGCAGAGAUGUGCUGGCUUUUGCUGGUGUACAGGUGGUGCAUGGUUGUCGUCAGCUCGUGUCGUGAGAUGUUGGGUUAAGUCCCGCAACGAGCGCAACCCUUGUCUCGUGUUGCCAGCAGGUUGGGCUGGGGACUCACGGGAGACUGCCGGGGUUAACUCGGAGGAAGGUGGGGAUGACGUCAAAUCAUCAUGCCCCUUAUGUCUUGGGCUUCACGCAUGCUACAAUGGCCGGUACAGAGGGUUGCGAUAUCGUGAGGUGGAGCGAAUCCCUUAAAGUCGGUCUCAGUUCGGAUCGGGGUCUGCAACUCGACCCCGUGAAGUCGGAGUCGCUAGUAAUCGCGGAUCAGCAACGCCGCGGUGAAUACGUUCUCGGGCCUUGUACACACCGCCCGUCACGUCACGAAAGUUGGCAACACCCGAAGCUCGUGGCCUAACCCGUGUGGGGGGAGCGGUCGAAGGUGGGGUUGGCGAUUGGGACGAAGUCGUAACAAGGUAGCCGUACCGGAAGGUGCGGCUG
rnacentral:rRNA from 1 species